CGCUGGGGCUCAUUUUGGCCUCCCGUUUCUCUCUCUUCGUCUUUGCACAUGUGAGGAGACUAAGGCGAUUCCAUUGAAACCCCGUUGUGUGCUCUCGAUUGUGUUCCAGAUUGAUAAAUCACUAAUCCUACAACGCUUUUCUCUGCAAUCUCCAUUGAUGUUUGCUGUCGACCGUUUCUGUUCUGUGACCCGUGUGAGGUGAUCCAAAGUAUAUUUCACCGAAACCCUGGUCUGGAUUGCUGUUGUGUACUACAACUUCUCUGUUGGGAUGAAUUUGAGUUAAAAUUCUGAAAUUUUGAACUGACCUUGAAAAAAGGUAACUAUUUUGUCUUGUUACAAUUCUAUUUCUAUUCAAUUUAACUUGAAAUUAGGUUUUUUGGAUUCUAUAUUGAACUGUGACAGUCAUUUUCUUAUAUUGUGCUUGAGAUUGCUGUUGUGUACUACAACUUCUCUAUUGGGAUGAAUUUGAGUUAAAAUUCUGGAAUUUUGAACUGAGCUUGAAAAAAGGUAACUAUUUUGCCUUGUUACAAUUCUAUUUCUAUUCAAUUUAACUUGAAAUUAGGUUUUUUGGAUUAUAUAUUGAAUUAUGAAUGCUGUCGUGUACUACCACUUCUCUAUUGGGAUGAAUUUGAGUUAAUAUUCUGGUAGUGUGCGCUGCUGAGUUGAUACUCUCCAAUUGUGACACUCCAAUUUUGCUGUAAUGGUUGUGGAACAUAUUUGUACUCAGUUCUGGAGGGAGUGUAUUUGUAAUUUUAAGUUGGAACUCAUUAUCUUGUAAUUUUCAGUUUUGUGAUUCUA